GUGCUCGCUUUGGCAGCACAUGUGCUAAAAUUGGAACGAUACAGAGAUCAGCAUGGCCCCUGCCCAAGGAUGACAAGCAAAUUUGUGAAGUGUUCCAUGUUUUU